rnacentral:rRNA from 1 species
AUUGAACGCUGGCGGCAGGCCUAACACAUGCAAGUCGAGCGGAGCGGCGGACGGGUGAGUAAUGCCUAGGAAUUUGCCUGGUAGUGGGGUAUAACGUCCGGAAACGGGCGCUUAUACCGCAUACUAUCAGAUCAGCUUAGGUUGGAUUAGCUAGUUGGUGGGGCAAAGGCCUACCAAGGCGACGAUCCGUAACUGGUCUGAGAGGAUGAUCAGUCACACUGGAACUGAGACACGGUCGAGACUCCUACGGGAGGCAGCAGUAGGGAAGAUUGGGCAAUGGGCGAAAGCCUGAUCCAGCCAGGCCGCGUGUGUGAAGAAGGUUUUCGGAUUGUAAAGCACUUUAAGUUGGGAGGCGUUACCAACAGAAUAAGCACCGGCUAACUUCGUGCCAGCAGCCGCGGUAAUAC